AAAACAAGAAUGUGUCCCCAGUACACGAAUGCCCCACUCACACUAUCAUUUUCUAUGUUCAGUGGACCGUGAAAUUGGGGUAAACCCUCUAAUUUGGCAUUAACAUUAAAAAGAUCAUAUCAUAGGGAACAUGUAUACUAAGUUUGAAGUCGAUUGGACUUCAACUUCAUCAAAAACUACCUUGACCAAAAACUUUAACCUGAAGCGGGACAGACGGACGAAAGAAC
rnacentral:lncRNA from 1 species